rnacentral:rRNA from 1 species
GAUCAUGGCUCAGGAUGAACGCUAGCGGCAGGUUUAACACAUGCAAGUCGAGGGGCAGCGGGGAGUAGCAAUACUCCACCGGCGACCGGCGCACGGGUGCGUAACGCGUAUGCAACCUACCUUUAACAGGGGCAUAACACUGAGAAAUUGGUACUAAUUCCCCAUAACAUUCGAGAAGGCAUCUUCUUGGGUUAAAAACUCCGGUGGUUAAAGAUGGGCAUGCGUUGUAUUAGCUAGUUGGUGAGGUAACGG